GAUGAACGCUGGCGGCGUGCCUAAUACAUGCAAGUAGAACGCUGAAGGAAGGAGCUUGCUCUUUCCGGAUGAGUUGCGAACGGGUGAGUAACGCGUAGGUAACCUGCCUGGUAGCGGGGGAUAACUAUUAGAAACGAUAGCUAAUACCGCAUAACAGUAGAUGUUGCAUGAUAUCUACUUAAAAGGUGCAAUUGCACCACUACCAGAUGGACCUGCGUUGUAUUAGCUAGUUGGUGAGGUAACGGCUCACCAAGGCGACGAUACAUAGCCGACCUGAGAGGGUGGUAGGCGACACUGGGACUGGGACAGGGCCCAGACUCCUACGGGAGGGAGCAGUAGGGAAUCGGCGGCAAUGGACGGAAGUCUGACCGAGCAACGCCGCGUGAGUGAAGAAGGUGUUCGGAGCGUAAAGCUCUGUUGUAAGAGAAGAACGAGUGUGGGAGUGGAAAGUUCACACUGUGACGGUAUCUUACCAGAAAGGGACGGCUAACUACGUG
rnacentral:rRNA from 1 species